rnacentral:misc_RNA from 1 species
GAAAAAGCCCAGACGCCCAAAAAUCCCUCGAUCUCACUUCGCGAAUAGAGCGGCUCAAUUUCAAAGUACUGUCACUCACCGGGCGUAGUAGGGAUUGGGGGGAAAAUUGAAGCCCAGCAAUACGACAAUGGCGUCCUCGUCGAGCAGCGGUUUAACAUUCAAGCUACACCCUCUUGUUAUAGUUAACAUAUCCGACCACUGUACUCGGGUCAAGUCUCAGAUGAACCCUCCCGUUACCUCCGCCGCUAAUACUACUUCUAACAACACCAACGGCGCGGGGGAUGGUGUCGUCACUGCUGUUUCAGCUGCAAUACCGCCACCGAGAGUCUACGGAUGCGUUAUAGGUGUGCAGAGGGGACGCACCGUUGAGAUCUUCAACAGUUUUGAGCUUCUCUAUGAUCCCAUCGCCCACUCUCUAGACCGAGCUUUCCUUGAGAAGAAGCAAGAGCUCUAUAAGAAGGUUUUCCCCCAUUUUUACAUACUGGGUUGGUAUUCGACUGGUAGUGAUGCUGAGGAAUCCGAUAUGCAUAUACACAAGGGUUUGAUGGAUAUUAAUGAAAGCCCUGUUUAUGUUCUACUCAAUCCUUCAAUCAAUCCAGCUCAGAAGGAUCCGCCUGUGAAUAUAUAUGAAAGUGGAAUUGCGGAGGUUUAAGUAUAUCAAUGAAGAAUUUGAAGAUUAAAUUGAGGAAAGAUGGAGUUCAUGCUGGUGGUGAAAAGAGAAACCCUAUAACAGAGCUGCACGUCAUAGAUGGCAUUCCACAGCUUAUCUUCGUCAGUUCAAGUUACACAAUUGAGGUUUGUCAUCUUCAUUCUUUUUUACCUUAUUAUACUUUCUGUUAGCAACUAGGUUUAUUUCCCCUGAAUGUAAAGACAGUGGAAGCAGAAAGAAUAUCAGUUGAUCACGUGGCACAUCUGAAGCCAUCUGAUGGAGGCUCCGCGGCAACUCAAUUGGCUGCUCACCUCACCGGUAUGCAUAGUGCCAUCAAAAUGCUGAAUAACAGAGUUAGGGUGCUUCAUCAUUACCUUGUCGCAAUGCAGAAAGGUGAAUUUGCUUGUGAGAACUCAUUAUUAAGACAAGUAUCAAGCCUUUUGAGAAGAUUGCCAGCCAUUGAAUCCGAAAAAUUUCAAGAUGAUUUCUUGAUGGAAUACAAUGAUACAUUAUUGAUCACUUACCUGGCCAUGUUUACUAAUUGCUCAAGCACAAUGAAUGAGCUAGUUGACAAAUUCAACACUGCCUAUGACAGGCAUAGUCGAAGGGGGGGACGGACUGCUUUCAUGUGAAAGUUAAAUGCGGAUUUCAUAACCUUUGAAGGAUGAGUGAUUCGUCCCCCCAUUACUUCUUUUUUGGCUUGUACAAUUGGCUUCCUUUGGGACCCGUACUCAAGACCUUACAGCUUUCAUUGUAUUUGCCUUUCUUUUUUAAUGUUGCAUAGCACAUAGAAUAUUCUGGGAAUUUAAAUGUUAAUAAAAAUAAUAACUAACAACAUUUAUAGAUCACCUUGACGCAUUCAAAUUAAUAUAUUUCUGCG